ACACAAGGACCCCCCAACCGCACUGGCUCUCCAUUUAACUCUCCCUCCUUCUCCAUUUAACUCUCUCUGAUCCCUCAGUUUUCAUGAACAUGGUACAUUUUGGCAUCUCUUGCAACAGGAAACAAAACUCCCUCUCGGCUCUCUCUAUCAUGAGACGCUCACCAACACAAUUAACACUCUUCACUCCCUCUCUCUCUUUUCCUCUCUCCAACUCUCUCUCUGUCUCUCGGCCACUCUUCCCCUAACAGCAUACACUACACACAGAAACACACAAUUGCACACACACACAAGUAAACACUUGAAAUAAAAAGUCAGGAUGAAGACGUUGGGUUCCUCCAAAGUUUCUAGAGAUUGAGAGCAGCACUGCCAUUAUCAUAGCAAAGCUAAAGCCGUUGCCAAGGUCCCUUUUAAUAAUCUUUAAGUUCUAGUUCAAGAAAUGGGUUUUUGUAAAGUUUCAAAUUAUUAUUUUUAGUUUGUUAUUUUUGACGCUGUAUGACUGUAUCUGUGGGCUUAUUUAUGUUACACGUCUAAUGAGGAGCAAUUUGGAACAAGUUUGGUAAAGUAUGUGCUUGUUUUGAAUGAGUUUAUGAAAUUGAGAUCUGGUUGUAAAUAGUCAUUUUUGCUACUUUUCACUUCUUUUUUUUUUUUUUUUAAAUACCGAGGACGGAAAUGGAAUCUAUGCAAAAGACUCAGUGGAAGAUGAUAGUUUGGGGUAAAUCUAUCACUGGAAGGCUAUGACUGGCGGUGGUUGGUGGCGGCAAAGGCCCGCAGCACUACCGUUGCUGGUGCUCAUUUCUGCGGUGGCUAGGGUUGAGGAAGAAGAAGAGGGAAAAGGAAAACAUAGCGAAAAAAAAAAGGGGGAAAAUCAAGUUUAGUAAAACUACAUAGCAUUGCCCAAGAUCUAAACUACACUGCUCCACUAAAAGGUUGAAAAUGGGUUUCAAAAUCAGAAACUAGAUUUGCAAUUUGGUCCAUCAAUUUCUUGAAACCUCACUAUAGGCCUACAACUUUGAUUCUAUUGCAUCUAGGUCCAUUUUAAUGCAUUUAGGUCCAUGAACUUUAAUGUUGAUCUCUAAUCUUUUUAAUAAUAUGAUUUUGACCAGUAAAACUCUCUAAUGCUACGAUUAGGUCCCACUAGAAUGAUAAUUUUUCAAUUAAAGUAGUUUGAUUUCUUUAAUUACUAUUUUAUUCCUCAAUUGUGCAUUUUUAUGUGUUUUUGUAUGACUAUUACAACUAAAUGACUUAGCUUUGGUCUUUUAUUACUAUGAUAUGAUAGUGGUAUCUUUAUUCUUUUUGUUCGUGUUGUGAGUUCUAAAUAGGGAAACCUUAAACCAACACUUUAAAGGGGGUACCCUUAUUGGUUUUACAUUCAAUUAUGUGCUAUUAUGUGUUUAUAUGUUCUAAGUUGUUUUAAUUCUUAGUUUGCCAUUACGAUACCUUAUUAGUUGUAAUUUUAUUCUUAAAAUGCUUGUUUAUUUUACUCUAAUUUUAUCAUGUUCUAUUCAUUUAAAUAAACAAAAUAGUUCGUUUAUUUUUUUCAUUUUCCCUUUGUUAGAUUGCAGUUAAGACCUUACAUAUAAUAGAUAGGUUUAUUUUUCAUCAUUUCCCUUUCAGAUUGUAAUUAUGUUCUCUAAUGUAAUAGUUAAGGCUUGUGUGUGUUACGUGCACUUAUGUGCUUACAUAUUUGCAUGCUUUCAUAAGGAUUGACACAUCUAGAUAUCAUGCUUAUUUGUUAUGUGCUGAGUGUGCUUUCUAUGUUUACUCCUUUUAUAUCAUGCUAUAGUAUACAAUGCCUGCUUAGCUCCAGCACACUAGUACAAUCCUAACUGUGACACCUUCCCCCCUUUAUUUGCUAAUCCAAUGCUAGUGAAGAUUUGUAAAAAUAGUAUAGUUCAAUGCUAAAAUCUUAGACUUUUUGCACAUUAAAUCCAUGUAUUGUAUGUUAUUCAUUCUAUUUUCGCACAUAUUUUUUUAUUUUUGUAGACUCUUUUUUUUCUCAUUUGUAUGUUGUUUUUUCCUGCCAUAUGCCCCUAUCCCAUAUGUGUUUGAGCAAUUUCAUUUAUAUUUGCAUUUCGUAUAGGAAUUUAGAAAUUAGAUAGUUCAUUUACUUGUUUAGAUUAGUAAAGUCACCCUUUAAGUAUGAAAUGGGCAAUUAUUGCAAUUGUGAAAUGGUUAAGAGGUAGUAACACUCCCAAUCUUAAACUCUUCAAUGGUUAAGAGGUAAUUUAUUCACUAUUACCUCACAAUCUCUGUCACACAUGCAAAAUAAUAGUCCUGUGUCCAAUGGCACGACUAGAAGUUUACAGUAUCUAAUACGAUAAUAAAAAAUAAUAUAUUUAUAGAUAUGGCCCUAAUUGAAUUUCAUCCCAUAAUUAUACUUUUUUAAGAUUGAGAGAAAUAUCUUGUUGAUUUCAUGUAAUAAUGGAAAAAAUAAUAAACAUUGUUAUUGAAAAAUGUAUAUGCAAAAUUAUUAUUAAAGACUAAAAAUGCUCGAAUAUUAUCAAUUUCUCUUUAUAAAUCUGCAUAUGGUUGCGCUUUUCUUUUAAUAGCUAGAUAUUUUCUUUAUAUGGGAGAAUACAUAUUUUUUUUUCAUUCAUAAUAGUUAGAAAAGAGAGAAACAUAGUUGAUUUGGGGUUCAAAAUUUUUGGGUUCAUUUCUUUUAGUACAGCAUGAUUAGAUGCUACUAAAAAUUGUUUGUAUUGCUAAAUUUUUCUAAGAAUCUUUUUUGUUGCAUCAUAGGCACGUUUCUCAAUCAUAUUUUUAUUUUUUUUAACCAUUUUUUAGUUUACAAACAUCAAAUCAGAAAAAGUAUUACAAUAUUAUUUCUAAAAAAAUUUCCAAAUAAUCUUCAAUACAAACAAAUCUAUAGAACUUUAAUAAUAUUUUUAUUGUUUAUUUUUCACUAAAUAAUUUUGUUUUUUCUCCUUAUCAAAUAAAAUGAGCAGGAUAUUUUCCUCUAUCCAAAAAUCUGAAACUAUGGAGAUAAAAUUUAACAAGAGUUAGCUUCUCACUUAGGUAGAAUUCAAAACCAAUUGUGUAAUUUGUGUGAAGUUAUUUCUUCUAAUCAUAUGCAAAUCGAUCCUAUUAUGAAUGGUGAGAAUGUUGUAUGUGAAAGUGGAUUACAUUUUGAUCAAAAUGAUGGAUCUAAUUUAUGUUUCAACGAGUUGCAAAUGAAGAUUCCAAAGUCAUAAUCGCUCAAAAAGGCUACGCAGACGUUUCUUUGGACAAUUUUUAUGUGGUGUGCCCACAAAGUGAUAACCCAUGCAACACUUGAAAUAUUCUUUUUUCUUUGGACAAUUCUCAAGUGCGUUGAAGCAUAUAUUCUUCUUUCUUAUUUCUAACAUUCUCGAAAGGAAUUAUGAUGUUAAUCGUGAGUGACAGCAUGGUUAUAUCUUAUCCGUCAAUCGCAUACAAUAACACAAGGACCGCCCAAGCGCACUGGGUCUCCAUUUAACUCUCCCUCCUUCUCCAUUUAACUCUCUCUGAUCCCUCAGUUUUCAUGAACAUGGUACAUUUUGGCAUCUCUUGCAACAGGAAACAAAACUCCCUCUCGGCUCUCUCUAUCAUGUGACACUUACCAACACAAUUAACGCUCUCCACUCCCUCUCUCUCUUUUCCUCUCUCCAACUCUCUCUCUGUCUCUCUCGGCCACUCCUUCCCUAACAGCACACACUACACACAGAAACACACAAUUGCACACACAAGUAAACACUUGAAAUAAAAAGUCAGGAUGAAGACGUUGGGUUCCUCCAAAGUUUCUAGAGUUUGAGAGCAGCACUGCCAUUAUCAUAGCAAAGCUAAAGCCGUUGCCAAGAGACUAUCAGCUUUGCUUCGUCAUCCUAACUAUUGCAUCUCUGCCUAUUCAUGUGUAAGUUACAUACAUCUAUGUUCACUUUUAUGGAAUUUCAAACUGGUCCUGCUUAGCAAAAUAUAUUAGUCAUCCCUUGAUUAGAUGCUCACUUUUAUGGAAGAAGAAUUUGCUUGAUUCAGACUUUGACUGGAAUCCGUUAGAUGGUAAGGUAAGUUAUUCAUCUUGUUUAGAUUUUAGACAUCUGUAGCUUUCUUGUGAUCAUUUUAAAUGCCUAUUGAAGCGUGUAGUCAACUUCUGAUAGGACUAAGUGCUUGAAUAUUGGGAAUAAAGUUAACAACUUCUCUGCAUGAUUUGUUGGCUUUCAGAUUGGAUUUUACAGUUGUUUUGCCGCUUCUAAUCAUUGAAUGAACUAAGUCUUUAGUUUGCUAUCCAUUGUUUCUACAGCCUGCAUUAACAUUUUAAUUGAUGUAAGCCCUGAUAAGCCUCCAAUGGAGAUGUGUACUACACAAGAGUACUGUCCCUAUGUAUCAAACCUGCGGCUUUUCUGGUCACGCUGGACCAAAUUUACCAUUGCCUUAAGGCUGAUUGACCUGUAAAUGGCUCACUUUCAUCACCAUCUAAGACUCUUUUUUACACCUAUCUUUGGUGGUUUGAAGCAACCUAACGUGAAAUUCAGACGGGCGAACGUGAUUCUUGCUGAUGCAAGUUCCAUGCUGUCAGCAUACUUCUUGCAAGGCAUACAAGUCCAUUAAGCAGCAUUUGGAUGCCGCUGAAGAGCCAAUGGUAGGUGCACUGAAGCAGCGGCCAUGCCGCUAUAGCAGCAGAUGGUGCCCAAGAAGCCUUAAGGAGCACUAGUCCAGGGUGGGAUGGGAGGAGCAGGGAUAGUAGUGAGAAACUGGAGAGGACUCCACUAGCGAAAGCAACACCAUUCAAUAUAUCCACAUAUUUAUGGCAGCGAUUCUGCGAUUGCUUCAUAGCCAAAAAUAAUAGGGUGUAGGAAAGUAUAGCAGCAACGAAACUCCAGGUUUGCAGAGGAUGUGUUUCAAAUGGGUCCUCAGAUUUGGCCUGAUACUUCACCGAAACAACCCCAGAUAAAGAGGGAAUCGAAUAUUUUAAGACUGUAUGACAAGUAGGUGUCGAGUUCAAUUGAUCCUCAUUCACUUCAUCCCUGUAAAACAAGAUGUUUUACCAAACACGAAUUCAAAGAAACUAGUAUAUAAUAUACAAACACUCUAAGCAAAAAGUGUGCUGAAUCUCAAGCGCACUAAUAUACAAA